GGAAAUUUGAACAUGGAUUAGGUAUUAGACGAGAUCAGGAAACUAUUGUUAAUUUUAUUAGGUUUAAUAGUGAUAUUGUUUUAAAAAACACUCUUCUCUUACCUGUUAGAUAUUUACUGAGAUAACACAUACUGAGAUAUUUAAAGGUGAAGUGAUACAUUGCCUGGUCCAGAAAAAAAAUAAAUAAGGAGAAGGAUAAUUGAUGAAACAAGGUUGCAAAGUGUACUUGAGCCUGAGUGAUGGCUACAGGGGAUCUUUUUUUUUUUUUUUUUUUUUUUUGCAUGUUUGAAAUUUUCCACGGUGAAAAGUUAAACAGAAAACUUUCAAUAGCAUCUCAUCUCACUCGCAGUUCCCUAGCGUGAGCCUGUGAGGUAGCUGUGCUGGUAUUAUCUCCACUCUACAAAAGCAUAAACUGAGGACUGGGGCCGCCCCGUGACCAAGUGAUUAAGUUCUCCCACUCCGCUUCGGCAGCCCAGGGUUUGCAGGUUCGGAUCCUGGGGCAGGACAUGGCACCGCUCGUCAGGCCACGGUGAGGUGGCAUCCCACAUGCUACAACUAGAAGGACCCACAACUAAAAUAUACAACUAUAUACUGAGGGGAUUUGGGGAGAAAAAAGCAGAAAAAAAAAAAGAGAUUGGCAACAGUUGUUAGCUCAGGUGCCAAUCUUUAAAAAAAAAAAAAAAAAGGAAUAAACUGAGUACUGAAGAGGUUGUACCCACCACAUCUUGCAGAAGGGUUGCAGGGGGCUUCUGAUGAUGACGCUUGUUCCCUGGGGGUUGCUCUGCUGUCCGGGAUGGGGCCACCACGUGGUCAUUCCCGGGUAGAGUCAAGCACAAUUUCUUCCCCACGGGUGUGCCCAGGUCCAAGGACAGAGUAUGAUGCUGACACAGCCAGGAAAGGUUGACAUCUCUGUCAGCCCACUACCUGACCCUCUUCCCGGGAGCCUGCAGGCUCAGCGGCACUCCGGAAGUCCCGCUGCGCCGCAGGUGUCCGCGCGGGUCUCCUCGCUCAGCGAUCCCCGCAGCUGCGCUCUUGGCCACAACCGCAGCUUUGGAAACGCGCGAGGAGGGAAGAGCAGCACCACCGAGGAGGCAGCGCCCGCCCGGAUACCGCGGCUGCGAGGCCCCGAACCAAGGCUGCCACCUGCGGCAUCGUGCCCCUCUGGGCCUACACGUGAGUAUAGGAAGCCUUGGCCAGGUUGCCACCGACGCUAGGAAUAAAACUACACUUGGAGGCAGGUGUUCCCAACAACCUGCUGCUCAGAGUGCUUCCCAAACCACUUACAGCUGGGAAGAGCCGCGGUUAAUAUAUUGUGCUACUUUUUCUUUCUUUCUUUCAAUACCCCUUCUUCCAACGUGUUUUUUCAGUAGCUGAUCCAUUUUACACACACAGCUUCCUCUCAGAUAAAGGUAAGUUGACUAAUUUACAGAAGGAGGAUGUUGAGUGUAGUGACUUGGGGAUCCCAGGGUUAUGGAGCAAGGAGUGGCAAUCCUGACUCUUGCCUUCCGUCUUUUGACCAUAGUCUCCUAUUCUUUGUGGUUUAGAUGUGCAUUCGAUUUUGCAGGGGAGAACAUACAAACAGAAAUUCAUAUUCUUGAUGGUAAGAAUGGUUGAUUUCCAUGAACAGUGAGCUGAGUUUCUCGGAUUGUGUAUUCCCCUUUCCUAGCUAGAUUCGCAAGUAUCAUUUGGGAGAAUCUUUAACCGUGAUUAAAUAAGUAAAUUCUGCUGCUGCUCACCUGGAGCAGGCCGUAGAGAGUUCCCUGUGUGCCAAGUAGCUCUGCUUGGAAUGAGUUCCUGCAAUUCACAUGGCCUGCCCAUAGAAAUUCAAUUUGACCCUCAACGUGGGAACCAGAGUUUGUUUCCUCUACCCCCGACUAUUUAGUAUCUGCUAUAUGCCCCAGUCAGCCUGUUCUUUUUUCCGCGGAUUCACCUGCUCUGGAGAAUGACUGUAAUUGUCUUUGUGGUAACCUCCAGGGCUGCCCAAAAUUAAUUCAGUAAAUGCCAGGCAACUUAUGCUCUAAGGAUGACCUUCCCAAACAUGAGUGAGAG
rnacentral:lncRNA from 1 species